rnacentral:rRNA from 1 species
CCUACGGGUGGCAGCAGUGAGGAAUAUUGGUCAAUGGACGAGAGUCUGAACCAGCCAAGUAGCGUGAAGGAUGACUGCCCUAUGGGUUGUAAACUUCUUUUAUAUGGGAAUAAAAUGUUCCACGUGUGGGAUUUUGUAUGUACCAUAUGAAUAAGGAUCGGCAAACUCCGUGCCAGCAGCCGCGGUAAUACGGAGGAUCCGAGCGUUAUCCGGAUUUAUUGGGUUUAAAGGGAGCGUAGGUGGAUUGUUAAGUCAGUUGUGAAAGUUUGCGGCUCAACCGUAAAAUUGCAGUUGAAACUGGCAGUCUUGAGUACAGUAGAGGUGGGCGGAAUGCGUGGUGUAGCGGUGAAAUGCUUAGAUAUCACGAAGAACUCCGAUUGCGAAGGCAGUUCACUGGACUGCAACUGACACUGAGGCUCGAAAGUGUGGGUAUCAAACAGGAUUAGAUACCCGGGUAGUC